rnacentral:tRNA from 1 species
CUUUUCGUGGCGUAGCGGUAACGCGCCCUGUGUAGCGAAUUGUAAGUCGUGAGUUCGAUUCUCAUCGAUAAGA